rnacentral:rRNA from 1 species
UACAGAGGGUGCGAGCGUUAAUCGGAAUUACUGGGCGUAAAGCGUGCGUAGACGGCUAUCUAAGUCGGGUGUGAAAGCCCCGGGCUCAACCUGGGAAUUGCAUUCGAGACUGAAUAGCUAGGGUACGGUAGAGGGAAGCGGAAUUUCCGGUGUAGCGGUGAAAUGCGUAGAUAUCGGAAGGAACAUCAGUGGCGAAAGCGGCUUCCUGCACCAGUACCGACGUUCAGGCACGAAAGCGUGGGGAGCAAACAGG